GGGAAGAAUGCGGUCCUAAAAACCAGGCGAAGAAAGGCAGUUGUGAAUUUGGGAUCCUCACCUCGGGCCUUGCGCCGAGUCUCCUGGUCACCGAGGCUGGGUGGCUUCUCCAUGGAGCUCAGGAUGGAGCCCAGUAGAAAGACAAAGGAGUCAGAGGGGACUGGUGGAUCAGAGGUGGUGGCAGGGCGAAGACUUGGGGAGAGAAGCCACGAGUACCUGUGUCGGCAGCGCCGCAGGAAUCUCAUGAUCUUCCGAGCUGCCUGGUCCUGCUUCUUGACCACCUCCCUUCUCAUGGAAGUACCUGAAUUGGAGGAGCAUCAGGACCCUGGUGAGGUGCCCGACCAGCUGCUGCAAUUUCUGCCAUCCUCUUCUCCAUCUGCUCCAGUCGCUCCAGUAUGGACAUCCGGAACUGGU